rnacentral:rRNA from 1 species
GGGCCCGCACAAGCGGUGGAGCAUGUGGUUUAAUUCGAUGAUACGCGAGGAACCUUACCAGGGCUUAAAUGUAGAUUGCAUAAGCUAGAGAUAGCUUUUUCUUCGGACUAUCUACAAGGUGCUGCAUGGUUGUCGUCAGCUCGUGCCGUGAGGUGUCAGGUUAAGUCCUAUAACGAGCGCAACCCCUGUCGUUAGUUGCCAACAGGUUAUGCUGGGAACUCUAACGAGACUGCCGGUGCAAACUGAGAGGAAGGUGGGGACGACGUCAAAUCAUCACGGCCCUUACGUCCUGGGCUACACACGUGCUACAAUGGUCGGUACAGAGAGCAGCCACCUUGCGAAAGGGAGCAAAUCUUUAAAACCGGUCUCAGUUCGGAUCGCAGUCUGCAACUCGACUGCGUGAAGCUGGAAUCGCUAGUAA